rnacentral:snRNA from 1 species
ACAACAUUCCUCAUUGUCUACU